GUUGUAUGGUUAAGUGACUAAGCGUACACGGUGGAUGCCUGGGCAGUCAGAGGCGAUGAAGGACGUACUAACUUGCGAUAAGCGCAGAUAAGGCAGUAAGAGCCGUUUGAGUCUGCGAUUUCCGAAUGGGGAAACCCAACUGCAUAAGCAGUUACUGUUAACUGAA
rnacentral:rRNA from 1 species